rnacentral:lncRNA from 1 species
GGGAAAAUGUGGAGUGUCAGUCAAGAGGCAACACUAGGAGGCAAGGAAUCUGCAUUUCUUUCAGACCUUGGCAGAGAGCGCCCUGGGAAAUGCGGAUAUAGAAGGUCAGGAGAACAUCUCUCCUGGUUAUACAGCAUUCCAGCACCUCUUCAAGUGAGAUGGCAGACCACCUCAGGAUGGAAAUGUAUUUCUUCAUCCCCCUCUCUACUUCCCUGUGACCUCCUGCAAAUAAGGGAGAGACAAAGAGAAGAGCAGAAGAACAGAAGAAUGGAGUGGCAAAGAGAAGAGAAGGAGUGACUGAACAUUGACAAGACUUUGGUUGGGGAUGGUCAGAGAGGAGAUUAGCUGCUAGACGGCCACACUGCGGAGAAAGAUCAUUUUCCCACUCCAUCCCCCUUCCAGCUCCCCAUCCAUCUCACCAAGAGCCAG